rnacentral:rRNA from 1 species
UACGUAGGGUGCAAGCGUUGCCCGGAUUUACUGGGCGUAAAGGGCGCGUAGGCGGCCACCGCAAGUCGGAUUGUGAAUCUCCGGGCUUAACCCGGAAAGGUCAACCGGAUACUGCGGGGCUAGAGUGCAGAAGGGGCAACUGGAAUUCUCGGUGUAGCGGUGAAAUGCGUAGAUAUCGAGAGGAACACCUGCGGCGAAGGCGGGUUGCUGGGCUGACACUGACGCUGAAGUGCGAAAGCUAGGGGGAGCGAACGGGG